rnacentral:rRNA from 1 species
UGUUUACUAAAAACACAGGUCCGUGCGAAGCCGUAAGGCGAUGUAUACGGACUGACGCCUGCCCGGUGCUGGAACGUUAAGGGGACCGGUUAGCUUGGAUUCGUCCAGGCGAAGCUGAGAACUUAAGCGCCAGUAAACGGCGGUGGUAACUAUAACCAUCCUAAGGUAGCGAAAUUCCUUGUCGGGUAAGUUCCGACCUGCA